GUGACUUUCCCAGGAUCAGGGAGGACAACCCCCGGUCCGGACAGCGCCGGUGCAAAUAACAUCAUGUACCGCGUUGUCCUGCCGCUAGUAGUAUUCCUAUUGGUCGCCGCCGUGAUUAUCAUCUUUUGCUGUUACAAGUACAAGGCCUGGCG